ensembl:lncRNA
UGAUGUUAUUGGUCACAUGACAUGCAGCUAAACAAAUGAAUUGUUUAAUCUUUUUUCGUUCUUCUGCGUGGCGGUUGUGGGUGUGUGUGCGGCCUGCAUGAGUGUGAUUGAACACAACCUGCAGCGAGGGAAGACUGAAAGCCGCCCGGCGCUCUGCAUGUCUGCAGGAGAAAGCUUUUACAUCGAGAUCGUGGGCCUGCUCUUCUCCUUAAUAGCGUGCACUUUGGCCCUCAAGGGUCGUCCUGAACCCAUCAGGCCCUGUGACUACCUGAGCGUGGAAGGAGUGGACAGUGACACGGAGCCUUUGAUUGGUGGAGCUGCGAGGCAGGAGUAAACAGACAGAGUUAUGCUCUUUAUUUUAAUGGCAGAACAUCGAGAGCAAUGCUGAACAAGAGCUGCUGUGAGAUCAGGUGAUCUCAGGAGCGUGUACAGAAUUUAAGAAUCGGCUCCUUCCGGUUCAUGAGUGUGAAUUUGAAUUGAAUUGAUCACAGCAUACAGGAUCUCAGAAGUUAUGAACAGUAACAUUAAUAGAACGUUAGUUCAAAGUGAUUUAGUCUUUAAUAACGUUCUCAAAACAUUAGCGCAGAAACAUUAUUCAUACAUCAUUUACUGAAAUGUUUGCCUUGGACAUUCAGCCAACGUUUUUUAAAUGUUGCCGCUUGUUUCAGAACAUUCCGAGAACAUUCAAAAGUAACACUCUUUGCAAAAAUGAUUAAAAUGGAAUGUUACAAAAUGACUUCAAAAGUUUAAAAACUGGGCAUUUGAAAUGUUCAGAAAGAACGUUUUCAUAACUUAAUUGAAACGUUAGCGAAAUGUUGGCUGGGAUGUAGAAUUGACAGGAUUUAAUUAUUUAAUUAAAUUACAAUUCAAAGAAAU